GGAAGGCAGCAGUGGGGAAUAUUGGACAAUGGGCGCAAGCCUGAUCCAGCCAUGCCGCGUGAGUGAUGAAGGCCUUCGGGUUGUAAAGCUCUUUCGCACACGACGAUGAUGACGGUAGUGUGAGAAGAAGCCCCGGCUAACUUCGUGCCAGCAGCCGCGGUAAUACGAAGGGGGCUAGCGUUGUUCGGAAUUACUGGGCGUAAAGGGCGCGUAGGCGGUUUUUCAAGUCAGGCGUGAAAGCCCCGGGCUUAACCUGGGAACUGCGCUUGAGACUGUAAGACUAGAGUACCGGAGAGGUAGGUGGAAUUCCCAGUGUAGAGGUGAAAUUCGUAGAUAUUGGGAAGAACACCAGUGGCGAAGGCGGCCUACUGGACGGUAACUGACGCUGAGGCGCGAAAGCGUGGGGAGCAAACAGGAUUAGAUACCUGGUAGUCCACGCCGUAAACGAUGUCGGCUAGACGUUGGGGCUCUUAGAGCUUCAGUGUCGCAGCUAACGCAUUAACCGCC
rnacentral:rRNA from 1 species